GGAGAAGUGUCAGAGUGGUCUAUUGUGCAUCGUUGGAAGCGAUGUGUGUGUUGAGCACCCCGGGUUCGAAUCCCGGCUUCUCCG
rnacentral:tRNA from 1 species